rnacentral:rRNA from 1 species
AACAAAUGCCCUGCUUCCAGGAAAAGCCUCUAAGCAUCAGGUAACAUCAAAUCGUACCCCAAACCGACACAGGUGGUCAGGUAGAGAAUACCAAGGCGCUUGAGAGAACUCGGGUGAAGGAACUAGGCAAAAUGGUGCCGUAACUUCGGGAGAAGGCACGCUGAUAUGUAGGUGAAGUCCCUUGCGGAUGGAGCUGAAAUCAGUCGAAGAUACCAGCUGGCUGCAACUGUUUAUUAAAAACACAGCACUGUGCAAACACGAAAGUGGACGUAUACGGUGUGACGCCUGCCCGGUGCCGGAAGGUUAAUUG